GCCACUCGCUCAUGUAGAUGCAGCUGGACGGGGAGAUCUCUCCUCCUUCGUGGCAGUCGUGGAACACCUGCAGAGAAGACAGACAGGUGCGGCCUCCCCUGACCGCAGUCAGGACUUCAGGACUUCACCACAGUAAUGAUCAGCAGGUUCAGCUCUGAGAACGAACAGAACCGCUACAGGUUUCACUGCUGCCAGAGAUUUUAAUCAUGUCAGCUUGAAGGCAGAGCUGCCCACACCAACUCCAACUUCAGACUGGGUUCCAGAGACGCCGGUACCAGGCCUGAUGUCACCGUUUCUGAUUCCUUCAUCUACCGGCCUGAGGGAACCUGAACGCACCAUCCAUCAGAGCCUCACAAGCUGCCUGGUGAUGCCUCUCUGCAGCCGCAGCAUUGAUGUCAAACAAACUGGGACAUUUUGAACAUACAGACCUGGAAUUACUCGCCGGCAGCCUUCUGUUGCAUGAAGACCUGCACUGACAACGUCACAGUGACAAAUGUAUCCGAGUCUUCCCAAACAAAAAGGCAGAGCGGAGAAGUCUGCUUAGAGAAAGGAACGCUGCCUUCAAGUGUGGAGCUGAGGCCCUGCAGCUCGGCACGGAGAGAACGGAUCGGAAAACGGGACGACCAGAAGGACGGACAGGUUAGGGUGGGAAUCCAGCUGGAGGCACUUCUCACCGGCACAGAAGUUGAACCACUUCUUUGCUCGUCUUGAGUGAAGACAGUAGAAAACUACAAAUGUCUUGGGACUAUUAGUUAAAGUUUAUAUUGAACCUGGAAAAAAAGGGCCAGCAAAGAUUGUUUUGUCUAAGAAAGCUCACAAAGUUUCAGGUUGAUAAGUCAAAGAUGAUCCUAGUUUAUAGAUCAUAUGUUGACGUUUUCUCUCCUCUGUUGGUUUGGUCAUCUUAGUAUUCAGCAGAGUAAUAAAUACUAGUAAUAAGAUCCGAGGGUUGAACAAUGCUCACUUACAGAACUGAUCAAUAAAUGGACCAUCCUUACUGACGGCGCUCAGACUCUGCGUAUGAACAGCAACAGUAACAGUAGCAGCUCUUUUGUUCAUACGGGACCCGGCGGAGGGACUCUCACCCGACUUAUUUUACAUUUUUUAAUGUAAAAAGUUUUUAAUUGAAAAACACGGCGAGCCGCUGGAUGGAUGACGGGCCGAGCGCCAACCACCGGGCUCAGAAGGUUUUCUGGGAGAAACCUUAGCAUGCAUCCGCUUCUCUGAUUUCAGCUCUGCUUUCAUGGCAUCCUCCCUGACAGACCGGUACAAGCUGGCAGGCCUUGGAAGCCCCUCUCCCACCUGUUGCUGGAUUAAGGACUUCCUUACGAAUCACACACAAACAGUCAGAGCGGGCCUCUGUAGCUCCGCAGGGCUGCGUGCCGAGCCCUCUGCUCUUCACGCUUCCAGACCACCAAAGUAGCACCUUGUUAAACUUGCAGACGACGACAGCAGGGGGUCUGACCUCAGGGGAGACCGUCCAAAGCUCAGCCAAGACCAAGGAGCUCGUCCUGGACUUUAGGAGAAGUAAAGGAGACAUUCAACUGCUGGACAGAGGCCGGGUGGGGAGGGCCAGACUUCUGCUUCCUGGGGGUUCAUUUCAUGGAUAAACAGGCCUGGAGCUGAAACACAGCAGAACGGACAAAGACGGCCCGGAGACUCCAAGUCCUGCUCCAAGUCCUGCUCCAAGUCCUGCUCCAAGCUGCUGGAGGUUUUCCAUCGAUGCUCCACUGAAAGCAUCAGCUGCUGCUGCCUCUGACAGACGGACAGUUCAAACCCAGCAGCCCUGCGGUUUCUAGUCGCCAUGGCUACCGUUUACCG